rnacentral:rRNA from 1 species
AACGAACGCUGGCGGCAUGCCUAACACAUGCAAGUCGAACGAGACCUUCGGGUCUAGUGGCGCACGGGUGCGUAACGCGUGGGAACCUGCCCUUAGGUUCGGAAUAACUCCCCGAAAGGGGUGCUAAUACCGGAUAAUGUCUUCGGACCAAAGAUUUAUCGCCUUUGGAUGGGCCCGCGUUGGAUUAGCUAGUUGGUAGGGUAAAAGCCUACCAAGGCGACGAUCCAUAGCUGGUCUGAGAGGAUGAUCAGCCACACUGGGACUGAGACACGGCCCAGACUCCUACGGGAGGCAGCAGUGGGGAAUAUUGGACAAGGGGCGAAAGCCUGAGCCAGCAAGGCCGCGUGAGUGAUGAAGGCCUUAGGGUGGUAAAGCUCUUUUACCCGGGAUGAUAAGGACAGUACCGGGAGAAGAAGCGCCGGCGAACUCCGU